GCGCCUGUAGCUCAGCGGAUAGAGCGACUGCCUUCUAAGCAGUUGGUCGCAGGUUCGAUCCCUGCCAGGCGCG
rnacentral:tRNA from 1 species